rnacentral:lncRNA from 1 species
GUUUUUUAAAAAUCUCCUGGUUAGAAGCAAAGUAAGGGAGUCUUUACAUAUAGACCCCACUGUGAUGGUUGAAGAGAUACAUUUUGGAGGACUAAAAUGGCAGGGGAGGAUGGUGCAUAUGUUUGUGUGUUUGUAUCAGGGAGCUUUUAAUUCAGGGUGGACAUAUGAAAGAUCACUCCUACCAGUGAUACCAGAACAAAUAGAACACCCAUCAUGUUGGCUUUGUCCAUGACCUUUCAUUUCAGAAGGACCAGAUAUUUCCUUCUCUCCCAUGAUGUGAGGUGGAUUGCCAGCAAACUGCUUCAGUAACAAAGGAAAUUGAAUUGCUUAUGAAGGAUUGCCUACACUAGCCCGUGAGCCAGGGUGUGCUUCAAGGAUACUGAAGAUGUGUCUGGAAAUACAAAAGGCCCUUCUACGAAAUGCGCUUUUCUCUUGCAGAGUGUUGUGAUCCUUCAAAUGGUAGUGACUUGCAUGCAGAGUUUUAUUUCCUUCUCACUCUGUGGGCUCACUUAUACGGUGAAUGGCAAUGAGAUCAGCUGGGUUUCUGCACUAAGUUGCGUGAUCAGAUCACAUUCUGAAGAUCCUUAUCAAGACUUAUUGACUCAACCUGAAUUGUAUGAAGACUUAGUGCUGCAAGACAUAGACCCUUUUCACUCUGAUCCAUGAGACACCAUCAUACCAUUCUUUACCACACCAGUGCCUCUUGAAUCCAUGAUGGCAACCAAAGACAGAUUUUCUGAUAGGAAUCUCCUACAAAUACCCUCCUUCCCACGUCUUUCAUUAUGCAAUUUCACACACACACACACACACACAUACACACACACGAUUAGCAAUAUAUGUGCUUUAAUUUAUAGUUGACCAGCAAAUACUAGUAUUAGCACUCCAUAGAUGAAUAGACCUCUUUUCAUUUGGAUGGUCUAUUACCAUUUUUAAGCAAAUAUUAGUUCUUAGGUCCCACAGAGUAAUUUAUUAUUACACACUUGCUUCUUCCUAGAAACUGUACUUCCUUCUUGGUUGACAGUUUAUUCAAGUGAAACAUCUUUGUACAAAUAGUUUGGAUAAGUAGUGGCAUACCAUCUGGCAUUGGGUCCAAUCUAAAUUCCUUUGACUGUUGAAUGUACCAACUCUUCUUUGCUUAUGUCAAGGGGAACUUGAGAAAAUAUAAUAAGAUACCAAGUGUAUAUUAUCACACAAUAAUGUAUGACAUAUAAUAAAAAUCUAAUGCAACUUCA